rnacentral:misc_RNA from 1 species
GUUCAACCAAGGAUUCAUGACUCACAUUUCAGGUGGAAAGGGGACACCAAUGAGACCUGGCCCUAUAGAUGCUUACCUUUUCAGUCUGAUUGACGAGGACGCGAAAAGCAUUCAGCCCGGUAACUUUGAGCGCCAUUGGGGAAUAUAUUACUUCGAUGGUACGCCUAAAUACAAGCUUUCUUUAGGUGCAAACAAUGGAGGUGGUUUAGUACCAGCAAGUGGUGUUCGUUACCUGUCUCGUCAGUGGUGCGUGUUGUCACCCUCAGCUAGCCUUGAUGAUCCUCAGCUAGCUGAUAGUGUAGGCUAUGCAUGUUCACAUGCUGAUUGCACCAGCCUCGGGCACGGGACAUCAUGUGCUGAUCUAGAUGCUCGUGGCAACGUUUCGUAUGCAUUCAACAGUUACUAUCAGGAAAACGACCAGCAAUCGAGUGCCUGCAAGUUUCCUAACCUUUCCAUGAUCACAAACACAGAUCCGUCACCAUCGGGCGGAACAUGUAAAUUCAAGAUCAUGAUCCAAGCAACUAGUCCUAGCAGCCAUAAGAACAAUGCAUUUACAACUAAGCCUGUCAAUGUGAUGUUUCUGUUUGUAGUUUCUUUGUUGUUGAGUGUUUUAUAGAACUUGUUGAGUCAUAUUUAUGUAUUUUCCAUCAUGAUUUU